rnacentral:rRNA from 1 species
UACGGAGGGUGCAAGCGUUAUCCGGAUUCACUGGGUUUAAAGGGUGCGUAGGUGGUUUUGUAAGUCAGUGGUGAAAGCCCGGAGCUCAACUCCGGAACCGCCAUUGAUACUGCUUAACUUGAAUCAACUUGAGGUGGAUGGAAUAUUACAUGUAGCGGUGAAAUGCUUAGAUAUGUAAUAGAACACCGAUUGCGAAGGCAGUUCACUAAGGUUGUAUUGACACUGAGGCACGAAAGCGUGGGGAUCAAACAGG